rnacentral:misc_RNA from 1 species
AAUUCUCAACCCUUAUAGCUUUUGUAAGCUAUUUGGGCUUGGAGCUGGGAGCUUGCGGGCCUUACAGGUCAGCUCUCCUGAAAUACAUUAGCGGAACCGUUUGCAGUCCCGUCACUAGUGUGAUAAUUAUCUACACUGUGAUGACUGCUCUCUAGUUGUUCAGCUGCUAAUUGUCCAUUAGUGGACACUACUUAAUGAACCUC